GUGGGGAAUAUUGGGCAAUGGGGGCAACCCUGACCCAGCGACGCCGCGUGGGUGAAGAAAUCCCUCGGGAUGUAAAGCCCUGUUGUAUGGGAAGAGCAGAAGACGGUACCAUACGAGGAAGCCCCGGCAAACUACGUGCCAGCAGCCGCGGUAAUACGUAGGGGGCAAGCGUUGUCCGGAAUUACUGGGCGUAAAGCGCACGCAGGCUGAAUUAUAAGUCGGUAGUCAAAUACGGAGGCUCAACUUCCGGAUAUCUAUCGAUACUGUAAAUCUAGAGUAUGUGAGAGGGAAGCGGAAUUCCCGGUGUAGCGGUGAAAUGCGUAGAUAUCGAGAGGAACACCAGUGGCGAAGGCGGCUUCCUGGCACAAUACUGACGCUCAUGUGCGAAAGCUAGGGCAGCGAACGGGAUUAGAUACCCCUGUAGUCC
rnacentral:rRNA from 1 species